rnacentral:rRNA from 1 species
GCAAGUGCCUGAAGACGAGCUCGCGUCUGAUUAGCUAGUUGGUGGGGUAAAGGCCCACCAAGGCGACGAUCAGUAGCUGGUUUGAGAGAACGAUCAGCCACACUGGAACUGAGACACGGUCCAGACUCCUGCGGGAGGCAGCAGUGGGGAAUUUUCCGCAAUGGGCGAAAGCCUGACGGAGCAAUACCGCGUGAGGGAUUAAGGCCUGUGGGUUGUAAACCUCUUUUCUCAAGGAAGAAUCAAUGACGGUACUUGAGGAAUAAGCAUCGGCUAACUCCGUGCCAGCAGCCGCGGUAAUACGGGGGAUGCAAGCGUUAUCCGGAAUUAUUGGGCGUAAAGGGUCUGUAGGUGGCUAGAUAAGUCUGUUGUUAAAGACUGGGGCUUAACCCCAGGAAAGCAAUGGAAACUGUUAAGCUAGAGUGUGGUAGAGGUAGAGGGAAUUCCUAGUGUAGCGGUGAAAUGCGUAGAUAUUAGGAAGAACACCGGUGGCGAAGGCGCUCUACUGGGCCAUAACUGACACUCAGAGACGAAAGCUAGGGUAGCAAAUGGGAUUAGAUACCCCAGUAGUCCUAGCCGUAAACGAUGGAUACUAGAUGUUGCGUAACUUGAUUAUGCAGUGUUUUAGCUAACGCGUUAAGUAUCCCGCCUGGGGAGUACACUCGCAAGGGUGAAACUCAAAGGAAUUGACGGGGGCCCGCACAAGCGGUGGAGCAUGUGGUUUAAUUUGAUGCAACGCGAAGAACCUUACCAAGGCUUGACAUGUCACGAAUCUUCUUGAGAGGGAAGAGUGCCUUCGGGAACGUGAACACAGGUGGUGCAUGGCUGUCGUCAGCUCGUGUCGUGAGAUGUUGGGUUAAGUCCCGCAACGAGCGCAACCCUUGUCUUUAGUUACCAUCAUUUAGUUGGGGACUCUAGAGAGACUGCCGGUGACAAACCGGAGGAAGGUGAGGACGACGUCAAGUCAGCAUGCCCCUUAUGCCUUGGGCUACACACGUGCUACAAUGGCUAAGACAAAGAGCAGCAAGCUUGCAAAAGUUAGCGAAUCUCAUAAACUU